GAUGAAGCCUUUCGGGGUGGAUUAGUGGCGAACGGGUGAGUAACACGUGGGCAAUCUGCCCUUCACUCUGGGACAAGCCCUGGAAACGGGGUCUAAUACCGGAUAAUACUUCUGCCUGCAUGGGCGGGGGUUGAAAGCUCCGGCGGUGAAGGAUGAGCCCGCGGCCUAUCAGCUUGUUGGUGGGGUGAUGGCCUACCAAGGCGACGACGGGUAGCCGGCCUGAGAGGGCGACCGGCCACACUGGGACUGAGACACGGCCCAGACUCCUACGGGAGGCAGCAGUGGGGAAUAUUGCACAAUGGGCGAAAGCCUGAUGCAGCGACGCCGCGUGAGGGAUGACGGCCUUCGGGUUGUAAACCUCUUUCAGCAGGGAAGAAGCGAAAGUGACGGUACCUGCAGAAGAAGCGCCGGCUAACUACGUGCCAGCAGCCGCGGUAAUACGUAGGGCGCAAGCGUUGUCCGGAAUUAUUGGGCGUAAAGAGCUCGUAGGCGGCUUGUCGCGUCGGAUGUGAAAGCCCGGGGCUUAACCCCGGGUCUGCAUUCGAUACGGGCAGGCUAGAGUGUGGUAGGGGAGAUCGGAAUUCCUGGUGUAGCGGUGAAAUGCGCAGAUAUCAGGAGGAACACCGGUGGCGAAGGCGGAUCUCUGGGCCAUUACUGACGCUGAGGAGCGAAAGCGUGGGGAGCGAACAGGAUUAGAUACCCUGGUAGUCCACGCCGUAAACGUUGGGAACUAGGUGUUGGCGACAUUCCACGUCGUCGGUGCCGCAGCUAACGCAUUAAGUUCCCUCGCCUGGGGGAGUACGGCCGCAAGGCUAAAACUCAAAGGAAUUGACGGG
rnacentral:rRNA from 1 species